GAAAUGUUCAAUAUACUACUGUAAGAGGUUCGGUCAACAAUGCUCAACUCUUGGGUGUCCAGCACAGCAGAAAGUAGAACAAGAGUCUCACUAUUUUAAAGGCUUUAGCAGAGCUCAGUCUCAUCCGCUGCAGGCUUUGAACUGUGUAUGGUGCUGAGGGAUCAUGGCGAGAAUGGAGCCAACAUAAAAGACUAGGCUAGCAAUAUGACAUCUUGUUCUGUAUCUAUGGUGAUUAAGAAGAACACUGAAUGCAGAGAAACAUAUAAAGACUUAUAUUAAAUAAGUGCUCUUGCAGGUAUAUGCUGUA